rnacentral:rRNA from 1 species
AUACGUAGGUGGCAAGCGUUGUCCGGAAUUAUUGGGCGUAAAGCGCGCGCAGGCGGUCCUUUAAGUCUGAUGUGAAAGCCCACGGCCCAACCGGGGAGGGUCAUUGGAAACUGGGGGACUUGAGUGCAGAAGAGGAAAGGGGAAUUCCAAGUGUAGCGGUGAAAUGCGUAGAGAUUUGGAGGAACACCAGUGGCGAAGGCGACUGUCUGGUCUGUAACUGACACUGAGGCGCGAAAGCGUGGGGAGCAAACAGGAUUAGAUACCCUGGUAGUCCACGCCGUAAACGAUGAGUGCUAAGUGUUGGGGGGUUUCCGCCCCUCAGUGCUGCAGCUAACGCAUUAAGCACUCCGCCUGGGGAGUACGGUCGCAAGACUGAAACUCAAAUGAAUUGACGGGG